rnacentral:rRNA from 1 species
GACGUAGGGGGCGAGCGUUGUCCGGAUUUACUGGGCGUAAAGCGCGCGCAGGCGGCACUGUAAGUAAGGUGUGAAAUAUCCCUGCUCAACGGGGGAGGGUGCACUUUAGACUGCAGAGCUAGAGGACGGUAGAGGGGGGUGGAAUUGCUGGUGUAGCGGUGAAAUGCGUAGAGAUCAGCAGGAACACCCGUGGCGAAGGCGGCCCCCUGGGCCGAACCUGACGCUGAGGCGCGAAGGCCUAGGGGAGCGGAACGGGG